rnacentral:rRNA from 1 species
GAUGAACGCUGGCGGCGUGCCUAAUACAUGCAAGUCGAACGAGUGGCGAACGGGUGAGUAACACGUGGGAAACCUACCCUUCAGCGGGGGAUAACCAUCGGAAACGAUGACUAAUACCGCAUACUGAAGGAUGGUCCCGCGGUGCAUUAGCUAGACGGUGGGGUAACGGCCUACCGUGGCUUUGAUGCAUAGCCGACCUGAGAGGGUGAUCGGCCACAUUGGGACUGAGACACGGCCCAGACUCCUACGGGAGGCAGCAGUGGGGAAUAUUGCACAAUGGGCGCAAGCCUGAUGCAGCCAUGCCGCGUGUAUGAAGAAGGCCUUAGGGUUGUAAAGUACUUUCAGCGGGGAGGCGUUACCCGCAGAAGAAGCACCGGCUAACUCCGUGCCAGCAGCCGCGGUAAUUC